AGGCGUCCAUGUGAUUCAUAAUAUUCUUGCAGGUUGAUGUUGGCAAGAGGCCGGUGACUGGACUUCGUUUGUACCUUGAAGGUAGAAGGAGUAACCGCUUAGCCGUCCAUUUACAGCAUCUUUCAUCUCUUCCUAAAGUCUUCCAACUUGAAGAUGAUCCAAAAGGCAACUUUCGCCGAGAAUCAUAUGAUCGCAAAUACUAUGAAAAAGUUCAAUGGAAGAACUUUUCUCACGUUUGCACCGCACCUGUUGAAUCUGAUGAAGACCUUAACAUAGUUACUGGAGCACAAUUGGAAUUAGGGGAUUAUGGGUUUAAAAAGGUCCUCUUUCUGAGACUCCGUUUCUCGACUGUCAUGGGAGCUACUAUGGUAAAGCACGCUGAGUGGGAUGGUUCCCCUGGGUUGGCUCGCAAAUCUGGCCUGAUAUCAACUCUCAUUAGCCAGCACUUUACAUCAGUUCAGAAGCCACCUCCUCGGCCAGAUGAUGUGAACAUAAAUUCUGCCAUUUACCCUGGUGGUCCUCCAGUUCCUGUGCAAGCCCCUAAGCUCUUGAAAUUUGUCGAUACUACUGAGAUGACUCGAGGACCACAGGAACCUCCUGGUUAUUGGGUUGUUUCAGGUGCAAGGCUUAUGGUUGAGAAAGGAAGGAUCUCUGUGAGGGUCAAAUAUUCCUUGCUAACUGUAAUACAACCCGAUGAUGAAAUAUCAGAGUAAUUUAGAAGAGGUUCUCUUUUAUUCAUACUCAAAACAAUGCAAAUGCUACAGGGAGAAGUUGCAGUGUAGUUUGUUGCUGGCUUUCUUGAUGUUGAAACACCUGUUGUACAAAAUCUGGCGGAAGUGCCAAAAAAGGGGAUGAAGCAACUGUUCUCUACUUUGAGAUGUCUCUAAUCUUU
rnacentral:misc_RNA from 1 species